AUCUUUGACUACUUCUGAACCACAUUCUAAUUCAAAACGAGUAGCAGUCGCUUGAUCCAAUCGAUUUAUUAACAUAUUAAGUAAAAUAAAAUCCCAGAACUUGACAGGGUAACCUAAAUUUUCCAAAACUGAGAUAUUUUCCAAAAAAGUAUCCACUAAUAAUAGUAAAGGAGCAGGGGUAUCUAGCUGAGGAAUUCGAACAGUUGAUUGAAUAGAGAGCCAGCAACUAUAUAAUUUUGGCUUGUCAAUGGUGUACAUUUAACGAGAGAGAGAGGAGCGUCUUUUAAAUUACUAACCAAAUAAUUAAACUUUUCAAUAUUAGUGAUAGAGUCAUUAUUGUGAAUCAAAAAGUCGUACAUAUCGAUAAAGGUCUGCCAUGUUUUCAAAUCUCCAUCAAAUACAGGUACAGAAAUUUUAGGAAGUAGCAGCAUUAAUAGGACAAAAGUUCGAAAAACAGCUCGAAUCUCAAAACAAAGAAAUAUCAACCCUAAAAACUGGAUUACAUCAGCUACAGGACGAAAACAAUCAACUCCGGUCCCAGAUAGAGAAUCAAGAACAAAUCAUGCGCAGCAACAAUAUUCGGAUUUUUGGUUUAAAAGCUGAACAACACGAAAACAUCCGAGAAAAUGUGUUAUCCCUGCUAAAUAAUAAACUUAAUUUACAUAUCAAUACCACCGAAUUAAAGAAAUGCUACACAAUUUCGCAAAGAAUUUCUGGCCGUAAACCGCCAGCAGUGCUUGUGCGGUUUUCAAGUGAUGAUGUUCGAUCGGCGGUACUUAAAAAUAGAAAAAUGCUUAAAAACACUGGUGUUUUCAUUAAAGAAGAUCUGACUAAGACACGGCUGACUUUAUUAAAUCAAGCAACGGACCUUUUUUCUAACAAAUGUGCGUGGGUGUCAAAUGGCAACAUUUAUGUCAAAGCAAGUGAUGGUUCCGUUCAUCGUGUGAGUUCUGAACGUGAUUUAGUGGGGCUAAAAAGUAGGCGUGAAAAGGACUAAUACAUGUGAAUAAAACGACA